rnacentral:lncRNA from 1 species
CAGAACCGAAGAUCGCUUACGUUUCCACACGGACCCGUUUUAGUGACGUACCCAUCUGCCGUCAGCUUCUGUAAGUUUGGUGACUUGAUUUUAAUCGUGUUCUGUUCAUUUACCUGCUUCCUAAACAUAGGUGAACUCUUCUAAUGUCUACCAUAGAGACUUGCUGUAAGCUACAGACGUCUUUUCUGAAUGGAGAAGAUGGAGGAUUAUCCACUCUACUGCAUCAAAUGAUUCCAGCAUUACUGAUCUGCACCCUAGAAUAUCCUGGAAUAAUCACUUGUGCAGUUUUGAUGACAUCUCUUGAAGUGUUAUGA